ACCGGCGGCUCGAGUGGUGGCCACUAUUACUGGGCUUAAAGCGUUCGUAGCUGGCUUGUUAAGUCUCUUUUUCCCUCUUCCUUCCCCCACGGAAGGCGUCUCAGGGAUACUGGCAGGCUAGGGACCGGAAGAGGUGAGAGGUACUCCAGGGGUAGGAGUGAAAUCCUGUAAUCCUUGGGGGACCACCUGUGGCGAAGGCGUCUCACCAGGACGGCUCCGACAGUGAGGAACGAAAGCUGGGGGAGCAAACCG
rnacentral:rRNA from 1 species